rnacentral:rRNA from 1 species
GCUUGCUUUUCUCUUACUUAGCGGCGGACGGGUGAGUAACACGUGGGCAACCUGCCUGUAAGACUGGGAUAACUUCGGGAAACCGGAGCUAAUACCGGAUAAUGUUUUUUGACUCAUGGCGGAAAAUUGAAAGAUGGUUUCGGCUAUCACUUACAGAUGGGCCCGCGGCGCAUUAGCUAGUUGGUGAGGUAACGGCUCACCAAGGCAACGAUGCGUAGCCGACCUGAGAGGGUGAUCGGCCACACUGGGACUGAGACACGGCCCAGACUCCUACGGGAGGCAGCAGUAGGGAAUCUUCCGCAAUGGACGAAAGUCUGACGGAGCAACGCCGCGUGAGUGAUGAAGGUUUUCGGAUCGUAAAACUCUGUUGUUAGGGAAGAACAAGUACCGGAGUAACUGCCGGUACCUUGACGGUACCUAACCAGAAAGCCACGGCUAACUACGUGCCAGCAGCCGCGGUAAUACGUAGGUGGCAAGCGUUGUCCGGAAUUAUUGGGCGUAAAGCGCGCGCAGGCGGUCUUUUAAGUCUGAUGUGAAAGCCCCCGGCUCAACCGGGGAGGGUCAUUGGAAACUGGGAGACUUGAGUGCAGAAGAGAAGAGCGGAAUUCCACGUGUAGCGGUGAAAUGCGUAGAGAUGUGGAGGAACACCAGUGGCGAAGGCGGCUCUUUGGUCUGUAACUGACGCUGAGGCGCGAAAGCGUGGGGAGCAAACAGGAUUAGAUACCCUGGUAGUCCACGCCGUAAACGAUGAGUGCUAAGUGUUAGAGGGUUUCCGCCCUUUAGUGCUGCAGCAACGCAUUAAGCACUCCGCCUGGGGAGUACGGCCGCAAGGCUGAA